AGAGGCAGGUGCGGAGCCGCAGCCGGGACUCGCCGAAGUCCGGGAGGGGAGCGCGGACCUGCCUCGGCCGCGCCUCAGCCGGCCCCGGCGCGCGGGACAGGCUGGGCAGAGAUAAAAGGGAACAAGAUUAUUUCUGUUUAAUAUGUGGGCAAUGCUCAGAGAAUAUGGUGAAGGGGGACGACAGAAGUACCUGGAUGAAUGGCUGGAUAGACAGGCAGUUGUGUUCCAGUGGGUGAACAGACUCUGAGUUGAUGAAAAUUGGCACUGAAGUCAAGACAGCUAUGAAAAUUUACCCCAGCUGAGGAUUGCUGGAAGGAAUGGCUGAGGGCUAUCCAUGCUCAACCACUGAUUCACUGCAUGAUAUGAAGAAAAUUUGGAACAACUGUAGCCACCAUCUCCAGUUCUUUGCCUCCAGACUGAGGGCUUUGUUGGUCAAAACAUAUGCCUUAAACUCAACCAGAAGCUAUUCAGAAGCAAAUAAAGAUGACAGAACACCAGGGAAAGUGCUUUGUGUGCGAAGCACAACUUAACAAAUGAACAGCCUUUGAAAUGCCAUGGGGCAGCAAAGUGAGAAGCCUUCACUAUUGCCAACUUUCACAAUUUGAGCCCCACACUGAGGGAUGCGGACAGUUUCAUUCACUCCAUUUUUGCCAAGAUUUAGCUGUCUCCUGACACUGUGUAAGAAGAGUAUGACACACGUGGUCUAGUCUCUUACCAGCACUUAUUUCCUGACCUUCCCUCAGGGGCGGCUCUACAUAUUCGGCCGCCCCAAGCAGUCAUGCGCGGGAGA